UGUGGCAGCACUUAUGAUCAAUAAUUCUAGAAAAUCUCACUCCAAAAGACAUGAGCUAAGCUGGGUUGAGCCUGGCCAAUACCUGGAUGGGAGACCUCCUGGGGAAAACUAAGGUUGCUGCUGGAA
rnacentral:rRNA from 1 species